GAGGUAGAUAGGGCAGAGGUGGAAGUGCAGUAAUGCAUGGAGCUGACUGUUACUAAUCGGUCGAGGGCAUAACCAAA
rnacentral:rRNA from 1 species